AUUUAUAUAGUUUAAUAAAAACAUUACAUUUUCAUUGUAAAAUUAAAAAAUUUUUUAUAAGUA
rnacentral:tRNA from 1 species